CGAGCGAACCCUUCGGGGUUAGCGGCGGACGGGUUAGUAACGCGUGGGAAUAUGCCCAAAGGUACGGAAUAGCCUCGGGAAACUGAGAGUAAUACCGUAUGUGCCCUUCGGGGGAAAGAUUUAUCGCCUUUGGAUUAGCCCGCGUUGGAUUAGGUAGUUGGUGGGGUAAUGGCCUACCAAGCCGACGAUCCAUAGCUGGUUUGAGAGGAUGAUCAGCAACACUGGGACUGAGACACGGCCCAG
rnacentral:rRNA from 1 species